GUGGGGAAUCUUGCGCAAUGGGCGAAAGCCUGACGCAGCCAUGCCGCGUGAAUGAUGAAGGUCUUAGGAUUGUAAAAUUCUUUCACCGGGGACGAUAAUGACGGUACCCGGAGAAGAAGCCCCGGCUAACUUCGUGCCAGCAGCCGCGGUAAUACGAAGGGGGCUAGCGUUGCUCGGAAUUACUGGGCGUAAAGGGCGCGUAGGCGGACAGUUUAGUCAGAGGUGAAAGCCCAGGGCUCAACCUUGGAAUUGCCUUUGAUACUGGCUGUCUUGAGUUUGGGAGAGGUGAGUGGAACUCCGAGUGUAGAGGUGAAAUUCGUAGAUAUUCGGAAGAACACCAGUGGCGAAGGCGACUCACUGGCCCAAUACUGACGCUGAGGCGCGAAAGCGUGGGGAGCAAACAGGAUUAGAAACCCCAGUAGUCC
rnacentral:rRNA from 1 species